rnacentral:rRNA from 1 species
UACAGGGGGGGGCAAGCGUUGUUCGGAAUUACUGGGCGUAAAGGGCCAGUAGGCGGCCAACUAAGUCCGACGUGAAAUCCCCAGGCUUAACCUGGGAACUGCGUCGGAUACUGGAUGGCUUGAAUUCGGGAGAGGGAUGCGGAAUUCCAGGUGUAGCGGUGAAAUGCGUAGAUAUCUGGAGGAACACCGGUGGCGAAGGCGGCGUUCUGGACUGCAUCUGACACUGAAAGACGAAAGCCAGGGGAGCAAACGGG